AACGAACGCUGGCGGCAGGCCUAACACAUGCAAGUCGAACGCCCUAGCAAUAGGGAGUGGCGCACGGGUGCGUAACGCGUGGGAAUAUGCCCUUGACUGCGGAACAACGUCGGGAAACUGACGCUAAUACCGCAUAAUGUCUUCGGACCAAAGAUUUAUCGGUCAAGGAUUAGCCCGCGUCUGAUUAGCUAGUUGGUGAGGUAACGGCUCACCAAGGCGACGAUCAGUAGGGGGUCUGAGAGGAUGAUCCCCCACACUGGGACUGAGACACGGCCCAGACUCCUACGGGAGGCAGCAGUGAGGAAUAUUGGACAAUGGGCGCAAGCCUGAUCCAGCCAUGCCGCGUGAGUGACGAAGGCCUUCGGGUUGUAAAGCUCUUUCAGAUGCGAAGAUAAUGACGGUAACAUCAGAAGAAGCCCCGGCUAAAUUCGUGCCAGCCGCCGCCGUAA
rnacentral:rRNA from 1 species